rnacentral:rRNA from 1 species
UACAUGGGGUGCAAACGUUGCUCGGAAUUACUGGGCGUAAAGCGUGCGCAGGCGGUUUUGUAAGCCAGAUGUGAAAUCCCCGGGCUUAACCUGGGAAUGGCAUUUGGGACUGCAAGGCUUGAGUGCGGCAGAGGAGACUAGAAUUCCUGGUGUAGCAGUGAAAUGCGUAGAUAUCAGGAGGAAUACCGAUGGCGAAGGCAGGUCUCUGGGCUGACACUGACGCUCAUGCACGAAAGCGUGGGGAGCAAACAGG